CCGCGUGAGUGAAGAAGGCCUUCGGGUUGUAAAGCUCUUUUGUCAGGGAAGAAACGGCUGUGGCUAAUAUCCACGGCUAAUGACGGUACCUGAAGAAUAAGCACCGGCUAACUACGUGCCAGCAGCCGCGGUAAUACGUAGGGUGCAAGCGUUAAUCGGAAUUACUGGGUGUAAAGCGUGCGCAGGCGGUUUUGUAAGUCUGACGUGAAAUCCCCGGGCUCAACCUGGGAAUUGCGUUGGAGACUGCAAGGCUAGAAUCUGGCAGAGGGGGGUAGAAUUCCACGUGUAGCAGUGAAAUGCGUAGAGAUGUGGAGGAACACCGAUGGCGAAGG
rnacentral:rRNA from 1 species